CGGGUAGAGUAACACGUGGGAAUCUACCCUUUAGUGGGGAAUAACUACUCGAAAGAGUAGCUAAUACCGCAUAUGGUCGAAAGACUAAAGGCUUCGCAAGGAGUCGCUAAAGGAUGAGCCUGCGGCUGAUUAGCUAGUUGGUGGGGUAAAGGCUUACCAAGGCGUUGAUCAGUAGCUGGUCUGAGAGGAUGGUCAGCCACACUGGGACUGCGACACGGCCCAG
rnacentral:rRNA from 1 species